rnacentral:lncRNA from 1 species
AUUACUGCUAAUGCUCCAUAACUAACCCUCUGAAAUCUCAUAUUUCACUCCCUGUUGUGCAGUCAAACAGUUUAACUCUGUGACCCAAGGAACCACCAUCGCUAUGGUCUGCCACUAUAGAUUUUCUUCACUCUUAGGAAUAAGCAGUUCUUCAGACUCAAGUGCCUGAAGUUGAUAAGCAAUCUGAAUGCCUGCUGAGGACUAAAGUUAUUAUUAAACAUCUGAAAGUAAAGAAAAAUUUACAUACAGAUUUGAAUUCCACACAACUGGAUGGGGAAGAUUUGUGCCUUCACUCAAGCCCACAUUCUUAAACUUGCUGGUGGUAACUGCAGUGGAACAAGGGAUGUGCUUCAAGGUGAAAAUGUAUCAGACAGAAUUCCUUUUGAAAGCUUGAGUUUUGCAGUUUAACUUUGAGUAAACAAUUUGUCAGUGUCUAAUUAUUGUGGAUCUAUUUGCCUUGGUGCAUACUGGCUACCAUUAAAAAUGC